UGGGGAAUUUUGGACAAUGGGCGAAAGCCUGAUCCAGCCAUGCCGCGUGAGUGAAGAAGGCCUUCGGGUUGUAAAGCUCUUUUAGUCGGAAAGAAAGAGUUGCAAUGAAUAAUUGUGAUUUAUGACGGUACCGACAGAAAAAGCACCGGCUAACUACGUGCCAGCAGCCGCGGUAAUACGUAGGGUGCGAGCGUUAAUCGGAAUUACUGGGCGUAAAGGGUGCGCAGGCGGUUUUGCAAGUCAGAUGUGAAAGCCCCGGGCUUAACCUGGGAAUUGCGUUUGAAACUACAAGGCUAGAGUGCAGCAGAGGGGAGUGGAAUUCCAUGUGUAGCAGUGAAAUGCGUAGAGAUGUGGAAGAACACCGAUGGCGAAGGCAGCUCCCUGGGUUGGCACUGACGCUCAUGCACGAAAGCGUGGGGAGCAAACA
rnacentral:rRNA from 1 species